rnacentral:lncRNA from 1 species
CCGCCCCCCGCCCCCCGGCCCUGGCCCGGGGCCGCCCGCAGAGCCGGCCACACCCGCUGCGGAGGACUCACCAAGGUAAGGAAGCGCCUCGGCGCGCCCCGGGGGCCUGGAGGGCUGCGCGUGGUGCGGGGAGGGCCACGGCAGGCACCCGCGGACCCGGACCGGGAACCGCCGCUGCCACUGAGCCGGGAGCACGGGAGGGCCCCGUCGGGCCGGGAGGGCUUUGGGCGAGUUGGGCUUGUCAAAGGGAGGACCUGGUGGCAAGUGGCUGGCAGUUGCCGCUCUGUCUGGAGCGUGGGGGAGUCUCACGCUCAGUGCAGGGGCCAGCUGUGGGGACUCCUCACCCAAAGCAGGGCACCAGCAAUCCGUAGUAGCCCGCAGGAAAGGGGCAGCUGCCCAGCCGCAGCCCAGGUGCAAGGGGCAUUUGUUUCCACGGGGCAAGCAAGGAAGACUUUACCCUGAAACAAAGAAUUGAGACCAACCGAGACUGUCCCAGCCUCUUCGACGGCAGAGGAAUCCCAGCUUCUGGACUGAGGGGCUACAUCUAUCCCCCUCCCCCACCUCUUUAACUUUAAAAUAGUUUAAUGAACACAGAGAGAGAAAUCAUUUUUUUUUUUCUGCGUGGUGAGCAGUCUACAAAGAGAAAUGGGAAAGGAGGGAGAGAGCUUUAACUCUGAUCCCCGCAAUUAGUUCCCUGGGAUUGUUGGUGUGUGUGUGGGGGGGGCAACCCGGGAGCCUCAGUUCUUCAGAUACAAAAGCAUUUAGAUCGCUUUAGACCGG